GACGAACGCUGGCGGCGUGCCUAAUACAUGCAAGUAGAACGCUGAAGGAGGAGCUUGCUUCUCUGGAUGAGUUGCGAACGGGUGAGUAACGCGUAGGUAACCUGCCUGGUAGCGGGGGAUAACUAUUGGAAACGAUAGCUAAUACCGCAUAAUAGUAGAUGUUGCAUGACAUUUGCUUAAAAGGUGCAAUUGCAUCACUACCAGAUGGACCUGCGUUGUAUUAGCUAGUUGGUGAGGUAACGGCUCACCAAGGCAACGAUACAUAGCCGACCUGAGAGGGUGAUCGGCCACACUGGGACUGAGACACGGCCCAGACUCCUACGGGAGGCAGCAGUAGGGAAUCUUCGGCAAUGGACGGAAGUCUGACCGAGCAACGCCGCGUGAGUGAAGAAGGGUUUCGGAUCGUAAAGCUCUGUUGUAAGAGAAGAACGAGUGUGAGAGUGGAAAGUUCACACUGUGACGGUAGCUUACUAGAAAGGGACGGCUAACUACGUG
rnacentral:rRNA from 1 species